UUAAUUAGCAAACUGCGCCGUGUUAAUUAGCGCAGAUUUUCUCGUGUAAGACUAUAUUGCGUUAAUGAAUCCAUCGGAACUUUGACUUCGGUUAGUUAAAUUAUUAAAUCUAAGGACCACAAUGAUUAACGUUACAGCCAGAGAAAUAUCUGUUUACUUUGUAUGAGGCACGAAAAGUAAUUUUGCAAAAGGAAUACAGAAGAGCCCCUCGCGAGUUACGCCAGUGCCGCGAAGCGAUCAGAAGAGAAAAAAGGGUAUCCUACGAGAAAGAAACAAGAAGAAGAAGAGCAAGGAAGAAUAAGAAUAUGAAGAGAAAUAGGUAGGCUCGGGCGUUGUAAAAAUCCCCAGCCUCUUCGCUCGUAGACAGUUUAAUGGCCUCUGCAGCUCUCCCGAGGCAGCCCAAAGGGAUAAGGGGCUGUUUCCAAUUGACCGAUUAGAUAUUAACAGGAAUACAUAUAUACAUACACAUUUCUUAUAAUAAAAAUAAUUCAUUAAUGUCCCAGAAUGCAUUAGUCUCUAUAACAAUGGAUGAACAAGAAACGUGAUAGGGAACAAUUCAUUUUAGAUAAAUAAAAAAAAUUAAAAUAUCUAUAAACCACGGAAACACGUCUUCAUUUUUCAAUUUCGUUAAAAAAUAAUAAUUGAUUUCUUCCUGUAAAUAAUUCUCCCCUCACUCCUCACUCGGUAAUUUCAUAUUUUAUACGAGGCCUAAACUCAUGGCAUACGGCAAAUACGGAGAACGGAUAUGCAAGCGUUGGUUCAACGGCAUAUGAAAUUUCGUGGAUGCAGCCACGAUAUAGGAUUGUGAACAAAGCUUAAGGAUGGAACCUGAACACUGUGACAAAGGAUCUCCCGUGCAAACGUGUCUUUCGAAACGAAAAUCUACAUUGCUGUGAAACACUGUCCCUUUCGAGAAACUAAAUCUGUUGUACGAACCGAUGCAGGGUUACAAUAUUAAGUAAAUAUAUGUUAAGAUGCACAGUGUGUACUACACCUAACGUAGCCAGCAUCUUUGUCGACGUCUGGUCGUUCCUCGCAAGAAAAUUGAACAGUGACAAAACAGUAAAGCGCAAAACAACGAAGAGUAAACUUUGAGAAGGAUUGUUAGACGAUGAUAUUGCUAAUUUCACGCCGUUUUCUAUCGUAACGUUUCAGUACGGAAUAACAGCUCGCAUUUUAUCGACUCAGUGAAAUUAUAUGUUAACGACUAUGAAAAAAUUAAACAAACGUCUAACCAGGGUAUAAUUGAAAUUUUAAAACUGUCAGUUACGUUCUUUGAAGUACUUCCAAUGACCGGUUGGCGCGUCUGUUGGUUAUGCAGAUUCUGAGAAUGUGCUCACCGCUCUCUACCGGCGUUUAGCAGAAGCGAGUUUCAUUAUGGAAAACGUACGACACAACGAAUCAAGAAGUAUGACGACCUUUGACUCACGCUCAUUUUUCUUGAUCAAUCGAGACUAGAGAGGGCAAGUACUUGUUUCUCGUAGGUCGAACGUAAACGUAAACGUUGGGUCUCUAUUUGUGCGAGUAUUGCGAAGCGUGCGAUAAAUCGAUGAUACAGAGGAAUAAGUUUGAUGUCUGGGCAACGUAUCUCGUGCGGGGAGAUGGAAGACGAAUCUUUUACCGUCAUCGUCACGAGAGACAGACAACGUGGCACGCGUAAGUAUCGAACGGUAUAUGCCGGCAGUUCGUUGAAACGUUGCAACCGCCUGCAACAGUUGCAGAAACUCUUUGGAGGAGGAGGAGGGAGUUGUAUUUUUCCGGGAGAGCAAGAAACUGGCGAGCAAGGGUACCUACGGCGGAGAGGACGAAAGAGGGAUAGACGGUCUGGCAAUAGAGGAGGAUGAGAAGUGGAAUGAGGGUGAAGAGACUUACAGGGAGGGAGAGAGAGGGAGAGAGAGAGAGAGAGAGAGAGAAAGAGGAUAAGAGAAGAGAGUGGACAGACGCGUCCCCAUAGCAACACGACGCGGCCAUGGCUUAUAUAUGAAACUACAUACGGUAAAUUCAUUCUCUUCGAGGCAUCCAGACUCAGAAAUAAGCUUUGUGUACACAGGUAUGUCUCAGUAUACACGGCAGUGUACGUAGAAAAAUAAAAGCAAACUCCAUACUCGACGCGGUAGACGCUCUAAUUUUACCAGGUAUUCGUAUCUCGAAUUCGUGCAGGCCGAGGGAAGAUGGGUAAAGCGUCGCGUCGAUGCCAGCACGUAGAAGAGAGAAGGAAAGACAAAAGAAAUUCUACCGAUGUAUACAAGAGCUGUAAGAAAUUGAAGAAGCUCCCGGCAAUGUCUUUUCUAGCUGCAGAAAAAGAAUCGUAUUUUUUUUAAAUAUCGUCUAUGAAGGUACAUCUAAAACCGUAGUAGUGACUCCUUAUAUAUUCUAAAAAAAAAAGAAACAAGUUCCCCACGGCAUGGUAUAACUAUAUACACGUGCUUGACGCACGUAGGUCUGCAAAAAAAAUUAUAAACUAUUUUACGUCCCGUCUCACGUAAUGCACUCUAGCCACGUGCACCUCGUACAAUCAGGCGACUCGACCAUCUAGCGGCAAUGCAGCGAACUACUUAAAUCUCCGUAUAAGAAAAGCUUGACUAACCAACCCAACGUAGGUCGCCAUCACGUCGCUUUUGACAAGUCCAAUAAGCAUUGGCAGACAGGAUAGACGCGUUCAUCCCUAAAGUGUAUUGGGGUGGCUGGCCAGCAGGGAAAAUUCGGUUUGCCGGUGCCGUUUGGUUCGCCCUGUACAGUAUGCACCGCCCCACUGCAGUUGCACCUUGAUCCUAACAUGGUGGGAACACCAUGGCUUGAUUUACUACUCCCAUAGGCCUAUCCCCGCCCACCACCUAGACCAGCCUGGCCAAUGACUGGCAUGCAUUCUAGUAGAGAGGUGUAGAGCUGUGUCUUCGUCAUCGCAAGCUCCCCUCUCGUGCCACUAUAGCUGCUACCUAGCUAGCUCUGACUAGCUGCUGCUAGCUAGCUGGUUGACUUGCGUGAGCAACAGCUGACGGUAUUCUUUACGAUUUGCACGUACCAUACGUUGACGUAGCGACACGUCGUCACUACGGGAUACCAUUGGGUCUGUCAUGUUUAUUUUUCUUUUUUAUUUCAAACGUCGUGUACUUGUCUUUAUUUCUUUUUUUUUGUCUCUCGUCCAUACCAGUCUUUUAUCGCACUCUUUUUAUUGGGUAUACCAAAAUUUUUUUCGCUUAUCUCACAAGGACUCGUUAAUUAUAUCUGUAUAGCGAUACCAUUGGAAUUGACAGGAUUGGUAGGACAUUUGGACAUUGCCUUCAGCUUAUAUUGCAUACCACUGUGCCUUGAUUAGAGACUACGUUAAUUAUUGAAUCGAGAAAUUUCAUUGAUUUCGUAUAAGUAAAUUGAACGGAUAUGUUUUAGGCUAUGAUUUUCAUUUUGGAUAGUCUUUCGAUUUAUGAAUAAUACAUAUGACGCUUGAAAAUAUGUUUGACACUAGGGUGCUUAAGAACUUUUAUUGUCGUAUAAAAUUGUUGCGUUCUAGGAACUUUGAGGUUUUACCGAUGAUCCUUUGAAAAUAAUUUUAUCGAUAAUCGUUGUCUUAUCGAACAAACGAAUCGUAGAUAACGGCUUGAUCUUAUCACGUCCUAUGAAAAUUGUGUCCUAUACGGUAAAUACUUAUGGAUUGAACACAAACUGCACUGUUAUAGUCAUGAUUAUCGAGGUCUUCCUUAUUCUUAGAGUCACUUAAGAAAAAAGUAUGCAAACAUUUCGAAAGUCAGUGCUAAAAAUUCUAUGUCCCAAGGGGUUUUAUUUAGCAAACUCGGGUUAUAAAUGUAACUUCGUGUCUACGAAGAAAAAUUGCACGAACGUAUUUGCAAAGCAAUGAACACAUACGAAGAAAGUAAUGAAGUUAGUCAAAUUGAUGGGACGCUCUUGCAACUCGUUUUUUGGCUACAUGAAAAAGUCAGCAUUUCAGUCAACAACGUGGAAAAUGAAAAUUUAAUUGUUUUUCGCAUCCGCAAAAUUGAUCUCAUGGCGUUUUUACUUUAUAAUAUUUCAAUAAUAUUUACCCCACGUGUACUCGUAAUAACAAGGCGGGUAAAAUGAAGCAGUUAAGUCUACACAUCUGUAGUAUUUCCUGAAACUAUCGGUAAUGCAAUUAAGCCCAAAAUAAAGAGAGACAAAGACAGAAACAUGAAAUAUCAUUGCCUGGUCAAGGCGAACAAUGCACAUUGCAUUUAUUCACGUACGAAGAAGUUUGAACGAAAAUAGAGAAUCGAUAGAAGAGCAACUGCAAUGAGAAUAAUCCCCAAUAAAAUUUUCAUGGGAAUCCAAAUAAUGUAUGGCUAUGAUUUUUUUUAUAUACUCAUAUCUCCACGAACAAUUUAAACUAAUGCACAAUUUACGUCAGAAUCUAUUACCACACUCAAUCUCCAUUCUCAUUGUCAGGUUGUAAAUCUAAAUAAAAGUCAAUAUGAACAAAAAUGCAUCACAAUAUCUGUUGGAGAACUCGAAAAAAGAGUAACCUUGCAAUUGUAUCGUUACGUCAUAAAUUAUAAGUGUAAGCUGAGUAAUAUAUUAAUACAAAAUUUAUAUGCUUAGACUGUACUUGCGACCGCAGUAUGCAAUAUCAAGGCGUUACGAUUGUUGAACUAACCUCAAAUAUUUCCUUAGAAUCGUCGGCGCUACUGAUUAUCUUAUUAUCACAUGAAAAAUUAUACGAAUGUAUAUUCGUAUCACCCAACCGAAUACACAUAUCCAUAAUAAGUAUUCCGUCUGGAAUUGCCAGUCUUCGCUCCCUAUUUCGACGGGGUACUUGGAAACCGCGAAACUGACACACGGCGGUCUUCUCAAGGGGUUAUUACGCGACGAAGCAGGGCCACGAUUUCAUUUUCAUAUCCGGUUUAGCGCUUUCAGCAAUAAUCUCCAAGCAAGAACAGCACUGACCUAGCCAAGGGCUGGCUGGUCAUGUAAAGUAACGCCAUGGCACGACAUGCCACACCGCAUCUAUUAUAACGUACUACGAUGCUAUGUUAUACUAUAUGAUACUAUGCCAUGCCAUACCAUACAACACCAUGUCGGAGUAGGUACACGCGAACGAGAAAGGCUUGCGCCAGACGGUAGAUGCACAACUUGGUUAUUGAUCUUAGCCAGAACUAGUUUCCGUUUCCGUAUUUCCAUCCACUGUCGUUUAGUGUUUCACGAAGAGGUACGUUUGAUACCGUAUUCAACGUCGAGUACAUACAGCUUCGUUGGUUGGAAAUACUAUAACCUAUAAAGGUUCGUGUAAUCCGUCUCGCGCGAUACAGUCGGGACAUAAGUUUCGUAAACAAAGUGAAAAGAUUCGAUGCUGGACGUGUAAUCGCCAUUUUCUAAUCGUCAAACCAGACAAAGUACAGUAAUGUAAAUAUAAAAAGGCAAUAGAAACAGUGCGAUUCUCACAGGACGGGCGGAGCAUUUUAUACUUUUCAACGAAACGACCACACGUAGGUUUAUAGAACUUUCCGAGCGACACGUCAAAAACGAACGAGCUUCACACCAUAGAGCCAGCCGUUAAGGAAUGCACUUGAACGAUACAACCGUGCAGAGCGACAGCUCUUGUUUAUUGUCACGCGCGCCAUGGCACUACGUUAUCUUGCGUCCUGAUGUGUUCUUCGUUGCCAAGAAUUAUUUGUCCUUCGAUGGUAAAACAGAGCGCGAACCCAAAGGUAUAUACAUACGUACAACUUUUCCAACAUGGCGCGCAUGAAAAUUCUUUUGUACGUCACGGCGGACAAUUGCCAAUCGAACGGCGCCGCAAGACAGGGUGGGUGACUGUUUCACAAAAGAAUGACAAAGUAGCGACGUCACUGACCAGUGUUGUUUAAACGUCAAACGCUUCUUGGCGUUUCUCUACCCGGUAUGACAAAGGAACUCACGAAGAAGACUGUGCCGGUAUUUCUGAUAUUACUGUCUCUUUGAUAUAUGUGUAUAUGUAAGAGCCGGCCGAUGCCACUGAUACUGUAAUCGUCAAUUGCACAGCCAUGACUGUCGCUAAUUUCUGUUAUUUGGUAUAAAAGUGCUAUUGCUUGAAGUAAUAAAUAAACAGGGUAGGGAAAUGAAGAUACUCAUUUGGUUGAACGUAAAAGGUUGCCAAGAGAGCGGCAGACAAUUAUGCAAAGUAUUAUGAUAAUCAAGGCCUUUCCAGAUACUCAGAGUGAAUAGUUUUGUAUGACAAUAAACUUUUUGUGUUUUGACUCUUGCGACUCUUGUCUGUUCUGCAAUGACCUUGCUAAUGAGAAUAGUCAGAGGUAAUCAAUAUGACGAUAUAUGUCUAUAUUUA